UGCCAGCAGCCGCGGUAACACGGGGGGCGCAAGCGUUAUUCGGAAUUAUUGGGCGUAAAGGGCGUGUGGGCGGUUUGUCUAGUCAGGCGUGAAAGCCCCGGGCUCAACCUGGGAACUGCGUUUGAUACUGGCAGGCUAGAGGUUGGAAGAGGAGAGUGGAAUUCCCAGUGUAGAGGUGAAAUUCGUAGAUAUUGGGAAGAACACCAGUGGCGAAGGCGGCUUUCUGGACCGAUACUGACGCUGAGACGCAAAAGCGUGGGGAGCAAACAGGAUUAGAUA
rnacentral:rRNA from 1 species